UAUUAUUGCAUCCAAAGAUCAACUGAACCUAGAACAUAGAUACAGAGACACUUGUCAUCAGGAAGGUGAUCUCUCAGCACAACGGAAAAUAUCCCAAUGACUUGACAUGUUCUGGUUGUGAAUUCAGGCUACAAGGGGUCAGUUCUCUAAAAUGAGUCUCUCAGGAGCGAGAAAGAAGGGGGGCCCUGUCUCUAAAAUGAGUCUCUCUGGGGAACAUGACACCAAAGUUAAGAGUCCAAUCAAGCAGGAGAGACCAGCCUCUCCUGUACCCAGCUGUGUGUCCAUGAAGAGUGACCGGUCUAUGAUGGAACCUAUAGAGUUUAGAGAGGGAGACUUUUCUACUGAACAAAGGUAAGAAGAACUCAUGGGUCAUGGUCAGUGAGUUAAACAACACUGUCUCUAGUCAUUUCUCCUCUCCCAUUUUCCCAUUUAUUGUUGUUGUUUUCAUAAUCCAUAGGCUCAUCAUUUUGUCCAUUUUCAUAGUCUUAAAACAAACACAACAUUCCCUCCCUAAGUGUGUGUGUGUGUGUGUGUGUGUCUGAACUCCCUGGAUGAGGAGAUGUAAUCUCUAUCCCUAUUGCCUAGUCACUUAUACCCCUACCUACAUGUGGCUAUUACCUCAAUUACCUAAACUACCUGGUACCCUGCACAUUGACUCAGUACUGGUACUCCUUAUAGUCUCAUUAUUACCUCAACUACCUGGUACCCUGCACAUUGACUCAGUACUGGUACUCCUUAUAGCCUCAUUAUUACCUCAACUACCUGGUACCCUGCAUAUUGACUCAGUACUGGUACUCCUUAUAGUCUCAUUAUUACCUCAACUACCUGGUACAUUUACAUUUUACAUUUAAGUCAUUUAGCAGACGCUCUUAUCCAGAGCGACUUACAAAUUGGUGCAUUCACCUUAUGACCUCCAGUGGAACAGUAGUGCAUCUAAAU